AACGCUAGCGGCAGGCCUAAUACAUGCAAGUCGGACGGGAUUUGGGAGCUUGCUUCCAAUGAGAGUGGCGCACGGGUGCGUAACACGUAUGUAACCUACCCAUAUCAGGGGGAUAGCCUCUCGAAAGAGAGAUUAAGCCCGCAUAACAUCAUUUUAUGGCAUCAUAGAAUGAUCAAAUAUUUAUAGGAUAUGGAUGGGCAUGCGGAGCAUUAGCUAGUUGGUAAGGUAACGGCUUACCAAGGCUACGAUGUUUAGGGGAUCUGAGAGGAUGACCCCCCACACUGGUACUGAGACACGGACCAGACUCCUACGGGAGGCAGCAGUAAGGAAUAUUGGUCAAUGGACGGAAGUCUGAACCAGCCAUGCCGCGUGCAGGAAGACGGCCCUACGGGUUGUAAACUGCUUUUGUACGGGAAUAAACCUUCGUAUGUAUACGAAGCUGAAUGUACCGUAAGAAUAAGGAUCGGCUAACUCCGUGCCAGCAGCCGCGGUAAUACGGAGGAUCCGAGCGUUAUCCGGAUUUAUUGGGUUUAAAGGGUGCGUAGGCGGCCUAUUAAGUCAGGGGUGAAAGACGGUAGCUUAACUAUCGCAGUGCCUUUGAUACUGAUAGGCUUGAAUGUACUUGAGGUAGGCGGAAUGUGACAAGUACGGUGAAAUGCAUAGAUAUGUCACAGAACACCAAUUGCGAAGGCAGCUUACUAAAGUUAUGAUUGACGCUGAGGCACGAAA
rnacentral:rRNA from 1 species